rnacentral:rRNA from 1 species
UACGGGGGGAGCAAGCGUUGUUCGGAUUUACUGGGCGUAAAGGGCGCGUAGGCGGUCAGCACAAGUCAGUUGUGAAAUCUCCGGGCUUAACUCGGAAAGGUCAACUGAUACUGUGCGACUAGAGUGCAGAAGGGGCAACUGGAAUUCUCGGUGUAGCGGUGAAAUGCGUAGAUAUCAGGAGGAACACCGGUGGCGAAGGCGGCUACCUGGACAGAAACUGACGCUGAGGCACGAAAGCUAGGGGAGCAAACAGG